rnacentral:rRNA from 1 species
CCCUGAUCCAGCCAUGCCGCGUGAGUGACGAAGGUCUUAGGAUCGUAAAGCUCUUUCGCUGGGGAAGAUAAUGACUGUACCCAGUAAAGAAGUCCCGGCUAACUCCGUGCCAGCAGCCGCGGUAAUACGGAGGGGACUAGCGUUGUUCGGAAUUACUGGGCGUAAAGCGCACGUAGGCGGAUCAGCAAGUUAGGGGUGAAAUCCCGGGGCUCAACCCCGGAACUGCCUCUAAAACUGUUGGUCUUGAGUUCGAGAGAGGUGAGUGGAAUUCCGAGUGUAGAGGUGGAAUUCGUAGAUAUUCGGAGGAACACCAGUGGCGAAGGCGGCUCACUGGCUCGAUACUGACGCUGAGGUGCGAAAGUGUGGGGAGCAAACAGGAUUAGAUACCCUGGUAGUCCACACCGUAAACGAUGAAUGCCAGUCGUCGGGCAGCUUGCUGUUCGGUGACACACCUAACGGAUUAAGCAUUCCGCCUGGGGAGUACGAUCGCAAGAUUAAAACUCAA